CUACGGGUUGCAGCAGUGGGGAAUAUUGGACAAUGGGGGAAACCCUGAUCCAGCAAUGCCGCGUGUGUGAAGAAGGCCUGCGGGUUGUAAAGCACUUUCGGUUGGGAGGACUGCUUCUAGCACUAAUAUUGUUGGAAGUUGACGUUACCUUCAGAAGAAGCACCGGCUAACUCCGUGCCAGCAGCCGCGGUAAUACGGAGGGUGUAAGCAUUAAUCGGAAUUACUGGGCGUAAAGCGCGCGUAGGCGGCUAGAUCAGUCGGGUGUGAAAGCCCCGGGCUUAACCUGGGAACUGCAUCCGAUACUGUCUAGCUUGAGUACAGGAGAGGAGAGUGGAAUUCCACAUGUAGCGGUGAAAUGCGUAGAUAUGUGGAGGAACACCAAUGGCGAAGGCAGCUCUCUGGCCUGAUACUGACGCUGAGGUGCGAAAGCGUGGGGAGCAAACAGGAUUAGAUACCCUUGUAGUC
rnacentral:rRNA from 1 species